UACGGAGGGUGCAAGCGUUGUUCGGAAUUACUGGGCGUAAAGAGUGCGUAGGCGGUUUGGUAAGUUGGAAGUGAAAUCCCGGGGCUCAACCUCGGAAUUGCUUUCAAUACUGCUAAUCUAGAGUAUGGUAGGGGAUAGUGGAAUUCCUAGUGUAGGGGUGAAAUCCGUAGAUAUUAGGAGGAACACCAGAGGCGAAGGCGACUAUCUGGGCCAUUACUGACGCUAAGGUACGAAAGCGUGGGGAGCAAACAGG
rnacentral:rRNA from 1 species